UCUAAAUCAGGAUACAUGGACUCCUAUGU
rnacentral:piRNA from 1 species